rnacentral:lncRNA from 1 species
UAACGCGCCCCCGGACUCAAAGGAGUUAGUGGGGCCACAUGGACUCGAACCCAUGUAAAUGCUCAUGCUCAUGCUCAUGGCUGAGCAUGCCAGCAAUGACCGCCACAGCUUCCUCCUCGCCGUACUCUUCCUUCACCUCCUGGAAGUGGCCGAGUGCCUCCUCCUGCAGCGUUGCAAGUAUCAGCAAACUACCCGUAGCCGCCCUAGCAUGUGCACUUACCUGCGUCGGCGUGAGCUUGCCCCAUUUCAAGCUGGCAUCCCGCAGCGCCCUGGCCAGGGCUGCCUAUAGCCUUCUUCCUUCAGCACCUGCAGCAGCGAGCCCUCCCCAGCCCCCUUCCCAUCCAUGUUGAAGCGCUCAAAAUGCGUCUGCAGGAGCUGCUGGCUGAGUGCAGUUGCACCUGUUGCAUAGGGGAUGAAAGGAGUUAAUGGGAGCUUGGC